rnacentral:rRNA from 1 species
GACGAACGCUGGCGGCGUGCUUAACACAUGCAAGUCGAACGGAAAGGCCUGCUUUCCCUUGUGGAUUGCGGGUACUCGAGUGGCGAACGGGUGAGUAACACGUGCGCUAUCUGUCCCCAACUCGGCUAUAAGCCUGGGAAACUGGGGCUAAUUCCCGCUAGGACUGCAGGGUGGGGUCUGUGGUGGAAAACGAUGUUCUAGUGCUCGGGGAUGAGCUCGCGGCCUAUCAGCUUGUUGGUGGGGUAAUGGUGUACCAAUGCUGCGCCGGGUAGCCGGCCUGGGGGGGUGGGCGGGCACGUGUGGCCUGAGAUACUGGCCAGGCUCCUACGGCAGGCAGCAGUGGGGAGGAAGGCGCGAUGGACGGAGGCCUGAGGCAGCAACGCCGAGUGAGCAAUGACGGGCGUCGGGUUGUAGACUCCUGGCGGCAGCGAGGAAGCCACCGUGUUGAAAGGUUAGUGACGGUAGUGGGAAAAGAAGCACCGGCUAACUACGUG